rnacentral:lncRNA from 1 species
CCAAAGUGCUGGGAUUACGGGUGUGAGCCACCACGCCUGGCCGAAACUUUUUAAAAAUACUACACUUUGAGCAAUUUAGAGCUAAAGAUGAUAUGUUCUGGAAAUCUGUUUUAUUUAUGUGACUCUGAAGGUGGCUCCAGUGACGGCAGGGAUGAUGUAAUGAUGCAAAUGAAGAGUGAAUAAUGUUUUUGAUAACAUGUGUGUAGAAAAGAAAAGCCAUGUUUUUAUUUUGUGGUGGUCGUUGAGAUGGGGUCUCACUAUAGUGCCCAGGCUGGUCCUCAACUCCUGAACUCAGGUGAUCCUCCUGCCUUCACCUCCCAAAGUGCUGGGAUUAACAGGCAUGAGCCACCACAUCCAGCCAGAAAACUGUGCUUCUAAAUUGAUCUAUUCUAUUAGAAUGUGUGAUUCAGAAUAAAUAUGUAAUUUAAUUCCUAAAUUACCAAAUUCGAAUUUUAAAGUAGACAUUUGACUAUUUCAUUCUAAUUCUUCAAAUUUAUAUCUAAGUUGGCCCUUCCCAUUGGCAAACUGUAGCGUGGCCGUGUUUGGUGGGAUUUUUUUUUUUUUUUUUUUUUUUUAAUUUUGAGAAGCAGUUUGAGCUCAUUUCCUGCAUGUUUAGUUCUAGGUGCAAUGUUUUAAGGGGAAGACUUACACUAUGAAGCUAGCCCAGAAGAGGGUGACUAGAGUACUGAGGAGUUUCUACCUGGAAGGGCUGUAAGGAAGACAACUGCUAUGUUGUGAGCGGCUCUAUGGAGAGGCCCAUGUGGAGGGAAGUGAGGAAGGCCUCUGGCCAACAGUCCAGGAGGAAGUGAAGCCCUCAGUCCAACAGCCUGUGUGGAACUGAACCCUGCAAACAACUCUGUGUGUGAGCUUGGAAGUGGAUCCAUAUUCAGUCAAACCUUGAGAUGGGACACCAUGCUCUGCUAACACUUGAUUGUGGUCCCAGCUAGGCCACUGCUGAAGUCUUGACUCAGAGAAACGAUGAUAUAGUAAAUGUUUGUUGUUUCAAGUUGGUAAGUUUUGGGAUAAUUUUUUAUAUAGUGAUAAUUUUUUAUAUACUUUAAAAUAACACAUUGCCCUAUCCUUUGGUUACACUUUUCUCUUGGAACUCUGCUUGCCCAUAUAUUACAGAAAUAUUUUUCAGAUCAUGGGCUGAAAGGUGGAUUAUGGAUGCAAUGUUUAAAUUUAGCAAUGUCAUUUAUGACUGUUCAUAUGAGCUUUGCUGCAUAAAAUGUUGAUAUUAAUUUGUUUCCCUUUAAGACAUUCUUAAUGUUUACCUCUCAGUAUUUUCUUUGUAAUCAAUUAAUGUAAGAUGAAUAUAGUUUGUAGGUUUUACCUUUCUUGAUUCGUAUACAAAACACACAACAUCCAACCAUUGUUAUUUAAAGAUUAUCUAGGAGGAGAUGAUGGAAACUCUGUUUUGGGCCACCUUCUUUACACAUUGGGUCUAUUUCCCCUAACUUGAGUAUAUAUUAAACUAGUGGGGGAUUGAGCUACAAAAAUGCUACUUGGUGAGAAUUUUAUUAAUACAAAUACUCAACUCUGAAGUUACGUUUUUGUGGAAAGUUAUCACUUUGGAAUUUGAAUUUUCUUGGAGCUAAGCCACUGGUAGUUGUAAAAGCUACACCUGUAAAUUUGCUCCCUAGAAGAUACUUUCGUUUAGUGACCACUUGUUUCUCUGUGGAUAAAUUCAAUUAUAAAUUACAAUCGAAUUGACGUUUUCAUAGCAUCCUUCACUCUCCAAGUAUCUCAAGUCCUCUGUGAAUUAUAAAGUAAUUACAGUGCUCAAAGGACAGUUUCAUAAUUGUGUCCAUGAGCACAGACUUUCCUCUAUGUUCGAGAAGGGCUCAUUCCCAGCCGGGAACAUUAAGUUGGAUUUUAUUGAGACUGGGGACUGCUAGUCCAGACAGCUGGGUGAUCCCCUGCGCUAUUUUGAAAAGUAUCCUGGGAUCUUUAAUUUCCACCUGGAUGGUCAGGGAGGUGAGAGAACGGCCCUCACUGGGUGUGACCUUGUAUCCCACUUGGGGUCUUGAACCAGGGGACCCCCAACCCCAGAGGUGAGACAUGCAAUAUGGUCAAUUAUACAACCUCUUAAUUAUUUUUUGCUGAAUCUCAAGUGAGUUCUCAUGGCCUGCUCUCUCCCGGGUGGGUUCAGAAGGUGGCCAAGAAGAAAUGUUAGAAAAUUCCCAGAGAGCCAUUUCAUGAGAAUGUUUUCUUUGGUUUAUACCUGAUACUGUUUUGUUUUUGUUGUUGCUUUUUAAUAACUUUUUUUUCUUUUUGUGGGGUCAUUUGCGUAAUACACAGGUGACGAACACUCAAGGUUAUUUGGUCGCAUGCCACCAAAUAACUUUCCUUUGGCACAUCUGCAGUGAAGGAGUCUUUCUGUCUGUCUCCUUUUGUUCCUCAUCAUCUAUUAGCUUGGCACAGCUGACUGAGCUGUUAAAUGAUUACUGCAUAUUUUGUACCUCACCUUGAGAGGCUUUGGUAUAAAAAGGUGCUAAUUAAGCUGAAGCUUCUGGCCCUCUUGCCUAUGUGGGCCCCAGGAAGCGAAGCAAAAAGACUUUAGGGAGCUGGAGCUUGUGUGUGUGUGUGUGUGUGUGUGUGUGUGUGUGUGUGUGUGUGUGUGUGUGUGUGUUUCGUUUUCAGCAUUUUGAGGAAUUGUUACUGGAACUUAUAAAAUAAUUGUUUUAGACCUUAUAAACACAGCAAAUUCUUCAAACUACGUAUGAGGCUGACUCAAAAAGCCACGUAAAGGUAGCUUGGCGAAUCAACUAACUGCUGACCAGUUUGUGGUGAUCGUAAGUCUAUAUAUGCUGGAUUUGGCGAUCGUAAGUCUAUAUAUGCUGGAUUUGAAUAUUUUCUGUAUUUAAAGAAAAAUAAGUACAUUCUAAGAAUAGUUGUCAUCUCCCUCUGUAGACUUGCCCCGUAGAUAUUUGAAAUGGGGAUUAACAUAUUUAAGAGUAGCAGGAAGUGCUAUUUCAUCAGUGUCUAGAAUGGGAGGCGAAUUCAGUCCCUGCCUGGACUUGUUGACUAGCUCGCUGGGUUGUGAAAACCACGGCAUUCUCCUGGGAAUUUGUUCCAGGGCACUGACUGCAUUUCUUCUGAAGCUAAAGCACUUAGCUUUGCUUCCAUGCCUUUUAAUAUAAUUUGUAGGCUUCAGCAGAUUUCUAAAGUACACCACUUGAUAUCUUUCACAGCUCAAGGUAAAUUCUGCAGCACGAACUUAUAGAAUUUUUUUCUUUUACCUGGGGUGAGAACAUACCUUUUCCUAGUGCUAUUUUUUUUUUCUGGGCUACCUUUCAUCUGUUUACAUGAAUUCCACUUCUUCUCGCUGUGUUAAAGAAAUCCCCUAAGCUGUCUACAUAGGUGUGAAACUUUUGGUUGUGAUUUCCUUGAAGUUAGUUGGAACUGGAACAUUUUUUUCUGUGUCCUGAAUGGCUCACACAUUCCCUAACACAGAAUGGAUACUCAGCGAACAGUUGUUGAAUCAGUGAACGGUAAUGGCUCAGUUCUGUCAGACAAUGGAUUGAAUUAUUUUUACACCUUUAAUUCACUCAUGGACUGAAUUAACCUACUCAUGGGCUGUUUGGGGCAUCAAGUGAUAUUUAUACAUUUCUGAAGAAUGUGGAAUCACCAGGGUUAACAGUGUUUGCAGGUGGCGUUCGAUUGCAGGGGCCCAAGGAACCACGGCUGAAUUCCGCAUGGACAUAGGCCAUUUUCCACCAGCAAAGUUAUGAGAACUUUUUUUGUUUUGGUAACUGAUGUGAAAUUUUCAGUUCCGAAUGACAUCCAGAAACUCUCCUUCUGCAGCAGAUGAAUGUUUUGAGGGAAUUUGAGAGGAGGGUUUGUCUUUUAUCUCUCACCUGCACGAGGACACUUGCAGUCUCUUAAGAGAUGUUCUCUUUUUGAAAUGGUGGAAGGACAGAAGCAUCAGCCAGCCCGUUCAUGCUUGGGGACAGAGAGGGAGCUCAGAGCUUAGGGGAGCACAGGUCACUCUAAUGAAUGACAGCUGUAAUAAUAAAGACAUGCCAUCCAUGCUACUUUUUGCAGAAACCAGAAACAUCCUUGUGAAAGUUAAAGGGAAAAGAAAAACGUGUACUUUGAGGGGGGUGUUAACGGGGGACAGGAGGUGGCGACAUAAAAGACUGGUUUAAUGUGUCUCGUUGUAGCCCCUAAGGCUUUACCUGACCCCAUCACUGUCACAACACCUUCUUCGGGACUGACAGUCUUGGUAAUUGAUGGGUUGGUGGGGGCUUUUUUCUGCAAACACAUUAAGGCAGGAGGGAAUACUCUGGCCCCCACCUCCCCACGCCUGGCACGGGGGACCUGGAGGCGAGCAGACACCAGGCCCGGCGGUGUUGGGGGCAGAAGGGAUCAAUUCUGUCAACCAGACUGCCCAGCUACUGUCAGGCACUGGGACCCUUCACCUGCUCCUUGGAGUCAUUAGAACUCCCAAAUCUCUUUGCAGGCCUUUUCUAUUAGACACAUACUCCCAUGUUUUGAUUUUUUGCUCCCAAAGUCAUUUUUUUAAAUAAUUACCUGCAUCGAACCACACUUACCAUCUGUGGGCUGAGAGCGGGCAAAUGAUUUAUUAGUCUUGGUUUCUAACGGUGCUGAGCAGCUUGGGAUCGAUCUUGCUGGUGACACACUCGGCAGAUGCACCGAUGGGUGGGAGGGUCAAUGUCAGGAUGAAGCUUCUUGCGGAGCUGACAUGCACGUGGGGACCCCAGGUGUGGUGUUUAGUUGGUAGACUGUGACAUUGCAAAAGUGGAGUCUCAAGCCAUGGCGGAUAACAGGCGGCAGAAAAAGCAGUGAGGGAGCUUCUUGGGAUGUUUUACUUUAAGUAGAAAGUAAAACUGUGCAUGAAAAGAGGGGACAGAGUAUGCAACCCAAAUCAUCGCCAAGGCUCUUGGUUUCUUCUGUGCACACUGCCUGCCUUGUAUCCAAGCGUUUGACUGUGCAGAGGCCAGUCAUACUGGGGGACCCUGAGCACUACCCUUGGCAUUUGGGUAUAUCCUGAUCAAUAUAGCCAUUUCCACUGCUUGACAUUAUGUUUUGGGGGCUAGUUUUUUAAAGAUCAAUGAUUGAAUUGCUGCUCGGCUGAUUGGAUAUGUCUUCUCGGAGACUCACCUGUCCUCCCCGAAGAGAUGCUGACUACACAACAGCAGUCACUGUGCUGGGCACACGGGCAGUGUUCAGGAGACGUGGCUUCCUUUCUUCUUCUUUCAUUUCUUCCUGCCCAGAACAGCAAGGCUGAGACUGAUAAUAAAAUUCCUGGAACAUGGAGAAACUCAUGUGGGGAGAAAAGAAGAAAUGUAUUGUGACUUCCAUGGGCUUUUGGCACUUUUGGACCUCCCUCCUCCUCUUUUCCAUAAAAAAUGUAUUUUAAGACAUAUUGGUAUAAAGAUGAGAUUAUUCAUAGUACAUAUUAAAAUGUUUUCCCCUACCUAAAAGUUUGUGGUUUUAUUGUCUUCUUGUUUUUAAAAUAAAUUAAAAUAUUUUCAAAGGCCGUUAGAAGAACCGUGGGCCCUGGGCUUGGUGCCUGCUGUGCCUCAUAAAUCAGGCCUGGAGAAGAGACAUCAGUGACAUUUUAGUGUCAGGUAGAAAAUGUAAAAUAUCAUGAUUGUUUUCCAAUGAUAUACUAAGUAAGACACAUAAGAUGUGUUUUAAUUUUUUUCUUGAUGUAUGCUGUUGUCUUUUAGUUAUAAAUGCUGAGUACUGUUAAAAGAUAAACUGAGGCACAAUAAAAUUUGAAGAGUUUAUUUGAGCAAACAAUGAUUUGUUACCGAAACACCAGGGGUUCAUCUGGGUCCUGCUGCUUGCCACACAGAAAGCCAAUCACUGAG